rnacentral:ncRNA from 1 species
CAUAAUUGAAUAGUUCUCGUAUAAAUUUGACAAUAUGGGUCAAACGUUUCUACAAACUACCGUAAAUAGUUAUAGGCUACGAGUUUAAUUCUU